UAGGGAAUCUUCCGCAAUGGGCGAAAGCCUGACGGAGCAACGCCGCGUGAGUGAUGAAGGUCUUCGGAUCGUAAAACUCUGUUAUUAGGGAAGAACAAAUGUGUAAGUAACUAUGCACGUCUUGACGGUACCUAAUCAGAAAGCCACGGCUAACUACGUGCCAGCAGCCGCGGUAAUACGUAGGUGGCAAGCGUUAACCGGAAUUAUUGGGCGUAAAGCGCGCGUAGGCGGUUUUUUAAGUCUGAUGUGAAAGCCCACGGCUCAACCGUUGAGGGUCAUUGGAAACUGGAAAACUUGAGUGCAGAAGAGGAAAGUGGAAUUCCAUGUGUAGCGGUGAAAUGCGCAGAGAUAUGGAGGAACACCAGUGGCGAAGGCGACUUUCUGGUCUGUAACUGACGCUGAUGUGCGAAAGCGUGGGGAUCAAACAGG
rnacentral:rRNA from 1 species